GACUCUGGGAUAAGCGCUGGAAACGGCGUCUAAUACUGGAUACGAACCAUGAAGGCAUCUUCAGUGGUUGGAAAGAUUUAUUGGUUGGGGAUGGGCUCGCGGCCUAUCAGCUUGUUGGUGAGGUAAUGGCUCACCAAGGCGUCGACGGGUAGCCGGCCUGAGAGGGUGACCGGCCACACUGGGACUGAGACACGGCCCAGACUCCUACGGGAGGCAGCAGUGGGGAAUAUUGCACAAUGGGCGCAAGCCUGAUGCAGCAACGCCGCGUGAGGGAUGACGGCCUUCGGGUUGUAAACCUCUUUUAGCAGGGAAGAAGCGAAAGUGACGGUACCUGCAGAAAAAGCGCCGGCUAACUACGUGCCAGCAGCCGCGGUAAUACGUAGGGCGCAAGCGUUAUCCGGAAUUAUUGGGCGUAAAGAGCUCGUAGGCGGUUUGUCGCGUCUGCUGUGAAAUCCGGAGGCUCAACCUCCGGCCUGCAGUGGGUACGGGCAGACUAGAGUGCGGUAGGGGAGAUUGGAAUUCCUGGUGUAGCGGUGGAAUGCGCAGAUAUCANGAGGAACACCGAUGGCGAAGGCAGAUCUCUGGGCCGUAACUGACGCUGAGGAGCGAAAGGGUGGGGAGCAAACAGCUUAGAUACCCUGGUAGUCCACCCCGUAAACGUUGGGAACUAGUUGUGGGGUCCAUUCCACGGAUUCCGUGACGCAGCUAACGCAUUAAGUU
rnacentral:rRNA from 1 species